AGCCUUUUUUUUAUAGGAUAAGCAUAAGAAUAGUGCUGAGCAGCUGAUACUCAAAACUAUGGGUUUGACUGGUGACCAGUGAAAACUAACUCCUUAUCCCCCUUGUUAUAUUCAUCUCAGUGCUAAAAUAGGGUGUCACUCCCUCUGGCUGGAAGUCCAUGCAAGUGCCUGUGCCUGAGGAUACCAGGUCCAUUGCUGAAGACAGUCUAGAAUUGCACUUCGUUCCUUAAUAGCCUCCAAAUAAAGGGUUUUUUUGCAUCCCAAAGGAAUGCUAGAUACUCUUAAUUACACUGUCAUUGACAUUUACCUGAAACAUCUUCUUUUCUGGUUGAGACAGCAGUAGACUACAAGAAGAAAGGAGCCUUUGCACCAGCG
rnacentral:lncRNA from 1 species